rnacentral:rRNA from 1 species
AAUCAAGCGUCUUAAGGGCAUUUGGUGGAUGCCUUGGUGUUGAGAGGCGAUGAAGGACGUAACACGCUGCGAUAAGCUGUGGGGAGCCGCGAGUAGGCUUUGAUCCGCAGAUUUCCGAAUGGGGAAACCCGACCAUUUAGGUCAUCCCGCAAGGGAAGCGAACCCGGUGAACUGAAAUAUCUAAGUAACCGGAGGAAAGGACAUCAACCGAGACUCUGUGAGUAGUGACGAGCGAAAGCGGACCAGGCCAGUGGCCAUUUAGAGGAUAACCAGAAGCGUCUGGAAAGGCGCGCCAGAGUGGGUGAUAGCCCCGUAUGGGUAGUGCUUCUUUAUGGUCCUUGAGUAGGGCGGGACACGAGAAAUCCUGUUUGAACAUGGGGGGACCACCCUCCAAGCCUAAGUACUCCUCAACAACCGAUAGCGAACAAGUACCGUGAGGGAAAGGUGAAAAGCACCCCGAUAAGGGGAGUGAAAGAGACCUGAAACCGAAUGCCUACAAACAGUCGGAGCCGCAUAGGCGGUGACGGCGUACCUUUUGUAUAAUGGGUCAGCGAGUUACUUUGACAAGCAAGCCUAAGCCGAUAGGCGUAAGCGCAGCGAAAGCGAGUCUGAAUAGGGCGAAUUAGUUUGUUUGAGUAGACCCGAAACCGGGUGAUCUAGCCAUGGGCAGGUUGAAGAUGCGGUAACACGCAUUGGAGGACCGAACCCACGCCUGUUGAAAUAGGCGGGGAUGACCUGUGGCUAGGGGUGAAAGGCCAAUCAAACCCGGAGAUAGCUGGUUCUUUGCGAAAACUAUUUAGGUAGUGCGUCAGUUAUAACUGUCGGGGGUAGAGCACUGGAUGGGCUAGGGGGGCGCGAGCCUUACCAAACCUAACCAAACUCCGAAUACCGACAAGUUGAGACUGGCAGACAGUCCAUGGGUGCUAAGGUCCGUGGACGAGAGGGAAACAGCCCAGACCACCAGCUAAGGUCCCCAAAUUAUGGCUAAGUGGGAAAGGAUGUGGGAAGGCCAUGACAGCCAGGAGGUUGGCUUAGAAGCAGCCAUCCUUUAAAGAAAGCGUAACAGCUCACUGGUCUAGAUAAGCCGGCCUGCGCCGAAGAUGUAACGGGGCUAAAGCCAUAUACCGAAGCUGUGGAUGCAACGUAAGUUGCGUGGUAGCAAAGCGUUCCGUAAGUCUGUGAAGCCUAUACCGUGAGGAUAGGUGGAGAUAUCGGAAGUGAGAAUGCUGACAUGAGUAGCGAUAAACAGUGUGAGAGACACUGUCGCCGAAAGCCCAAGGGUUCCUGCUUAAAGCUAAUCUGAGCAGGGUUAGUCGGCCCCUAAGACGAGGGCGAAAGCCGUAGUCGAUGGGAACACGGUUAAUAUUCCGUGACCUGAUGGUUGUGACGGAUGGCUAGCAUUGUACACACUUAACGGAUUGUGUGUGCAUCAAGGCCGUUCCAGGAAAUAGCACCAUCAUUAAGACCGUACCCCAAACCGACACAGGUGGGCAGGUAGAGCAUACUAAGGCGCUUGAGAGAACGAUGUUGAAGGAACUCGGCAAAUUGCCCCCGUAACUUCGGGAGAAGGGGGGCCUGUAUUUGGGCAACCAGAUACAGGUGGCACAGAAUAGGGGGUGGCGACUGUUUAUUAAAAACACAGGGCUCUGCGAAGUAGUAUAUACGACGUAUAGGGUCUGACGCCUGCCCGGUGCUGGAAGGUUAAGAGGAGGUGUGAGAGCUCCGAAUUGAAGCCCCAGUAAACGGCGGCCGUAACUAUAACGGUCCUAAGGUAGCGAAAUUCCUUGUCGGGUAAGUUCCGACCUGCACGAAUGGCGUAACGACUUCCCCGCUGUCUCCAACAUCGACUCAGCGAAAUUGAAUUCCCCGUGAAGAUGCGGGGUUCCCGCGGUCAGACGGAAAGACCCCGUGCACCUUUACUACAACUUUACAGUGGCAUCAGAGUGGAGAUGUGCAGGAUAGGUGGGAGCCUUUGAAGUAGUGGCGCCAGCUGCUAUGGAGGUACCCUUGAGAUACCACCCUUCUGCACUUUGGUGUCUAACCGCGGCCAGUGAAGCCUGGUCCGGGACCCUGUAUGGUGGGUAGUUUGACUGGGGCGGUCGCCUCCUAAAGAGUAACGGAGGCGCGCGAUGGUAGGCUCAAGCCGGUCGGACAUCGGCUGUUGAGUGCAAUGGCAUAAGCCUGCCUGACUGUGAGACUGACAAGUCGAACAGAGACGAAAGUCGGUCAUAGUGAUCCGGUGGUUCUGAGUGGAAGGGCCAUCGCUCAACGGAUAAAAGGUACGCCGGGGAUAACAGGCUGAUACCCCCCAAGAGUUCACAUCGACGGGGGUGUUUGGCACCUCGAUGUCGGCUCAUCACAUCCUGGGGCUGGAGCAGGUCCCAAGGGUUCGGCUGUUCGCCGAUUAAAGUGGUACGUGAGCUGGGUUUAGAACGUCGUGAGACAGUUCGGUCCCUAUCUGCCGUGGGUGUUCGAUUCUUGAGAGGAGCUGUCCCUAGUACGAGAGGACCGGGAUGGACGCACCUCUGGUGUACCGGUUGUCGCGCCAGCGGCACCGCCGGGUAGCUAAGUGCGGAAGGGAUAACUGCUGAAAGCAUCUAAGCGGGAAGCCCCCCUCGAAACCAGGAAUCGCUUGAGAGGCGUGGGAGACCACCACGUUGAUAGGUCCGGUGUGGAAGCACAGUAAUGUGUGAAGCUAACGGAUACUAAUUCCUCGAUAGGCUUGAUUAG